rnacentral:lncRNA from 1 species
UGCAGAUCAGGCGCUCAUGGUCGCGUCGAAGCGCAGCAGGAGGAGGGCUGGUACAGAACUUUGUACUUGUGCCCCCUGUUCAGGUUCUAUGAUUUGAUUUGAUUUGAUUUGAUUUCCUCCGCUCCACUUCUCUCAGGUGUUAUAUGUUUUAUUACUCUGAUGAUUGUCGUGAUUUUGUCGAGACCGUCAUCGGCUACUCUUUUCACCCUGCUUCAGUUUCAGUAUUGCGUACCAAAGACCUAUAUAUUUCUGAUUCUCAAAAGGUUACGAAUUCCCAGUAUCUACAAACUUCUGGUGCUGAAUAUACAGAAUUUGUUGUGAAAUAUUAUAUUAUCCUAAAUGCUACUGUAACUUCCGGUUAUUUCCUGUUGUCCACAGCCAAGAUUGCAGGAAAAUUGAGCUGCCUAUCUGCAUGGUUAACAAAUGGAGUCCUUCCUGAACGCGAGGCCCAGCCCAACCAAAACAAGGGAGAAGAAGCAUGGGCCGGGAAGGCGCCAACUCCAACUCCCGCCUUGCCGAGCCUGUGAUUUCGCCCACGAAGAUCUUAGCCCGCUUGUCACGGUCCGUGAACUGAACAUUCGGCCUAUACUAGUACACGGGCUAAACCAUGCGCAUUUUCGUCAUGCGGCAUUAUCCACGGUACUACUGCCGUCCUUGUACUGUACUUGUGCAGGUAUGAGGUAUAUAUACCUCAGAGCUCAGUAGCACACAGAAGAUACAGUGUAUCUCUCAACUCAAUGAGAGAUACACUGUGCAUGGUAGACGACGGUACUACCUCCCCGCAUGUGCUACGGGUGCACACUUGGGACGUGCAAUGCAUACUCCUGUCCUGCAGCUUCAGGGUACACAGAAGCCGCAAGCUUUGACUACCGGAGGCCGGAGGGAGCAUCUGCAGUUGUGCACUACGAACACCAUCUGACGGCGCGUACGGGCCUGCUACGUAUCCUUGCCAACUCCUACACGCGCGACUGCACACCGUCCAACAG